rnacentral:rRNA from 1 species
AGGCUGCAACUCGCCUGCACGAAGUCGGAAUUGCUAGUAAUCGUAGGUCAGCAUACUACGGUGAAUACGUUCCCGGGCCUUGUACACACCGCCCGUCAAACCAUGAGAGUUGGCAACACCCGAAGUCGGUAGUCUAACCGCAAGGAGGACGCCGCCGAAGGUGGGGUUGAUGAUUAGGGUUAAGUCGUAACAAGGUAAC